GGGGAGAGGAGAGGUGUAGAGAGGAGAGGAGAGGUGUAGAGAGGAGAGGAGAGGUGUAGAGGGGAGAGGAGGUGUAGAGGGGAGAGGAGGGGUGUAGAGGGGAGAGGAGAGGUGUAGAGGGGAGAGGAGAGGUGUAGAGAGGAGAGGAGAGGUGUAGAGGGGAGAGGAGAGGAGAGGAGAGGAGAGGAGAGGAGAGGAGAGGAGAGAUGAGGAGAGGAGAGGGGAGAGGAGAGGUGUAGAGGGGAGAGGAGGGAUUUAGAGGAGAGGGGAGAGGAGAGGUGUAGAGAGGAGAGGAGAGGCGUGGAGGGGAGAGGAGAGAUUUAGAGGGGAGAGGAGAGAUUUAGAGGGGAGAGGAGAGAUUUAGAGGGGAGAGCAGAGGUGUAGAGCGGAGAGGAGAGAUGUAGAGAGGAGAGGAGAGGUGUGGGGGGCAGAGAGGUGUAGAGGGGAGAGGAGAGAUUUAGAGGGGAGAGGAGAGAUUUAGAGAGGAGAGGUGUAGAGGGGAGAGGAGAGGUGUAGAGAGGAGAGGUGUAGAGGGGAGAGGAGAGGUGUAGAGGGGAGAAGAGAGAUUUAGAGGGGAGAGGAGAGAUUUAGAGGGGAGAGGAGAGGAGAGGAGAGGAGAGGAGAGGAGAGGAGAGGAGAGAUGAG
ensembl:lncRNA